UUGAACGCUGGCGGCAUGCUUUACACAUGCAAGUCGAACGGUAACAGGCCGCAAGGUGCUGACGAGUGGCGAACGGGUGAGUAAUGCAUCGGAACGUGCCCAGUCGUGGGGGAUAACUACUCGAAAGAGUAGCUAAUACCGCAUACGAUCUAUGGAUGAAAGCGGGGGACCGUAAGGCCUCGCGCGAUUGGAGCGGCCGAUGUCAGAUUAGGUAGUUGGUGGGGUAAAGGCUCACCAAGCCAACGAUCUGUAGCUGGUCUGAGAGGACGACCAGCCACACUGGGACUGAGACACGGCCCAGACUCCUACGGGAGGCAGCAGUGGGGAAUUUUGGACAAAGGGCGCAAGCCUGAUCCAGCAAUGCCGCGUGCAGGAAGAAGGCCUUCGGGUUGUAAACUGCUUUUGUACGGAACGAAACGGCUCUGGUUAAUACCCGGGGCUAAUGGCGGUACCGUAAGAAUAAGCACCGGCUAACUACGUG
rnacentral:rRNA from 1 species